rnacentral:rRNA from 1 species
AUUGAACACUGGCGGCAUGCCUUACACAUGCAAGUCGAACGGCAGCACGGGAGCAAUCCUGGUGGCGAGUGGCGAACGGGUGAGUAAUAUAUCGGAACGUGCCCAGUCGUGGGGGAUAACGUAGCGAAAGCUACGCUAAUACCGCAUACGAUCUAUGGAUGAAAGCGGGGGAUCGCAAGACCUCGCGCGAUUGGAGCGGCCGAUAUCAGAUUAGGUAGUUGGUGAGGUAAAGGCUCACCAAGCCGACGAUCUGUAGCUGGUCUGAGAGGACGACCAGCCACACUGGGACUGAGACACGGCCCAGACUCCUACGGGAGGCAGCAGUGGGGGAAUUUUUGGACAAUGGGCGCAAGCCUGAUCCAGCAAUGCCGCGUGCAGGAAGAAGCAUCUAUGGUGUGUAAACUGCUUUGUACGGGAAGAAACACUCCUACGUGUAGGAGCUUGACGGUACCGUAAGAAUAAGGAUCGGCUAACUCCG